rnacentral:rRNA from 1 species
AACCGGGAUUAAUACCGCAUAAGACAGCGGCACGGCAUCGUGCAGCUGUUAAAGUUUCGGCGGUGGAAGAUGGGCAUGCGUGCCAUUAGCUAGUCGGCGGGGUAACGGCCCACCGAGGCGACGAUGGCUAGGGGCUCUGAGAGGACGGUCCCCCACACUGGUACUGAGACACGGACCAGACUCCUACGGGAGGCAGCAGUAGGGAAUAUUGGGCAAUGGCCGCGAGGCUGACCCAGCCAUGCCGCGUGCAGGAAGAAGGCCUUCUGGGUUGUAAACUGCUUUUAUCGGGGAAGAAAACGCCCCUGCGGGGGUAACUGACGGUACCCGAUGAAUAAGCACCGGCUAACUCCGUGCCAGCAGCCGCGGUAAUACGGAGGGUGCGAGCGUUGUCCGGAUUUAUUGGGUUUAAAGGGUGCGUAGGCGGCCCGUUAAGUCAGCGGUGAAAUCCCGGGGCUCAACCCCGGAACUGCCGUUGAUACUGGCGGGCUUGAGUUCGGUCGAGGCGGGCGGAACUGGCGGUGUAGCGGUGAAAUGCUUAGAUACCGCCAAGAACCCCGAUUGCGUAGGCAGCUCGCUUGGCCGAAACUGACGCUGAGGCACGAAAGCGUGGGGAGCGAACAGGAUUAGAUACCCUGGUAGUCCACGCCGUAAACGAUGAUGACUCGAUGUCGGCGACACACUGUCGGCGUCCAAGCGAAAGCGUUAAGUCAUCCACCUGGGGAGUACGCCCGCAAGGGUG